AUGCCCAGCCUCCCCACAGCUGCAUGUUCUGAGGGGACACGUUCCGUUUUCAGUUCAGGUGGUGUAAUGGUGGUUUGGACUUACAGAAGUGAAUCUAUCUUCACAGCACUGAGUAAGAACCGAGGCAAAAUUCCAGCGUUGAGGCAGGACAAAAUGAGGAUACACGAAUCUAUAAGGAAGUGUGAUGCAAACAUGUCGGAGAUUCCAGAGGUACAAUGAAUUUAACAAACACGAUUUGCUGCCAUCUGGCUAAAAAGGUCCCUGCUGCAGCUUUGACAUAGGGUUGACUUCUUUGAGCUUUAUUGCCUUUCUUUCUAAUUACAAGCAGAUACAGUAUUGCGGAAAUUCAUGGACACAGUGGCUGCCCAGAGAGUCCACCCAGACUAUUGCCUGCAGCCAGUGUCUCUGCGCUGACUGCGUGCCCUGCCCGUGCUGCUGCACCGUGUCCUGCAGCAGUGCCAUUUGUCCCCAGCUCCCAGGGACUGAGAGCAAUCCUCCUGCCCUCUUGUCUCUCCCACUGGCUUAGAAAGCUUAAAAACUUCGGGUCACUGCUUUGUGAGAGGCCCUGCUGUUUCCUCCCACCCUCCCCGUCCUCAACGCCCGGGUAAACGAAGCCAGACUCUCCUGGGAGCUGCGUUUAACAGUUUGCUCUGAGAUCCUCAGCAGGAAACGUAGGUGGGGGGGGAACGGAAAGCUUCUUUCUAUGCCUCACGAUUUUAGAAGCCAUAAAUAAUACAGUAGAACUUAAACUUUCCUGGAAAGCACUUUGUGUAAUUUGAGCAUUCUUCACCCCCAUUUCUCAUCUCUGGGAAGUAUCCCAUUUUCUUGUACAUUUGUUGUUUUCUUUCGGCCUAAGCCUGCCAGUGAGCAGCACC
rnacentral:lncRNA from 1 species